rnacentral:rRNA from 1 species
GACGGAGGAUGCAAGUGUUAUCCGGAAUCACUGGGCGUAAAGCGUCUGUAGGUGGUUUAAUAAGUCAACUGUUAAAUCUUGAGGCUCAACCUCAAAAUCGCAGUCGAAACUAUUAGGCUAGAGUAUAGUAGGGGUAAAGGGAAUUUCCAGUGGAGCGGUGGAAAUGCGUAGUGAUUGGAAAGAACACCGAUGGCGAAGGCACUUUACUGGGCUAUUACUAACACUCAGAGACGAAAGCUAGGGUAGCAAAUGGG